AGAAGCGAGGCAGCCGUGAGGCGGAGGACAGGCUGGGGGAUCCCAAAGGGUGCGCUCCAGCCCCCAACCCAGGCACUGGGACUCUGGUGGCACCCUGGGUGGCAGGCAAGCCUUGAAAUCAAGUGCACGAGCCUUGGAAAGGAGGACCGGGAGAGUUAUGGCAUUUAUGAAUGAAGAAGAGAAAGAGAAUCACUCGGAUGGGAAAAGUUAACUGGAUUGUUCCCACCUGCAUGGAUCACCGGAAGCAACUUAGCCGUCUCGCCUUGCGGCCUGGAACCCCUGGCAAUUUCCGGAGCACCGGCAAGAGACUUUUGCACAGUUUCUGCUUGGAGUCUACCGACUGUCUGUCUCAGAGGUCUGGACAGCUGCUUGUUACAUUUGGCUCACGCUAGCUUAAAAAAGGAAUUUAUGGACCUUACUGCAGAACGUCCCAAUUCUUCAGGCCAAGGUGCCUGUGUUCCUGCUCGGUUUCUGGAUUGCUUGGUACUUAAAUGAAACAUCUUAUUAAUCAUUUCCCGGGAAUGCUGUGCAGGCAAAAGGAAAACAAAGGCAUUCAGGAGCCACACCUUUUGAAGGCCCGUUGACACCCCAGAGUCCUUCACAACUACAAGUACAACCCUGGUGUCCUUCACAGCUACAAGUACAAGUCAUGGGGAGCAGAACCAAGGAUUCCAAUCUGAUGGAGAGUCACAUUUACCCUUUCAAACAGAUAAGCAGGCAUAGAGUGUAUUAUACAUCAGUUUCUUGUGACUUUGGUUGAUGUGAGUCCAUCCCCCCAAAAAAGACCAAUAAAUUCUGGAGCACCUGUAA
rnacentral:lncRNA from 1 species